UUUUUUUUUUUGCAGUACGCGGGCCUCUCACUGUUGUGGCCUCUUCCGUUGCAGAGCACAGGCUCCGGACGCACAGGCUCAGCGGCCAUGGCUCACGGGCCCAGCCGCUCCGCGGCAUGUGGGAUCUUCCCGGACUGGGGCACGAACCCGUGUCCCCUGCAUCGGCAGGCGGACUCGCAACCACUGCACCACCAGGGAAGCCCGCUCAUAAAUAUUUUUAAGGGAUUGUAUGAGGUAUGUAGUAUUUUGAGUGGGGAAGAGAAGACCAAAAACAUCAAAUAAAAGAGAAAGGAACUUGCCCUGAAGAAAAUCCCACAUACAGGAUGGCAUCUCACUUACCUAACAGCAAUAUAUUUUCAGUUAGGUAAUUCAUAAACAAUUUCCCUGAGUUUAGGGUAUAUAAAUGACACAGAGACACGAUAAUAAAAAGCCAAAAACAGAGUAAUGUUCCUUUUUAAAGAAUAGUUACAAGAGAUCAUUUCCAAAGUCAAAUGAAAUUAUUUAUCCUUUUCUCAUUUGUUUCACGUGACAGAGAGAGGCUAGAUAUUCACCAAACCCGUUCAUCCCUCUCAGAUGCACAACUAAACACCUCUCCAGGACCCUUUGCCUCUAGCUGGGUGGAACUGUAUGCUGUGCUGGUAAAUGUUUUAACACCUGGCUUUCCGGAUAGGAAAAGGCUUCAUCUGCAGUAUUUGCCUAUUUCCCUUGUGUAAAUCUUCCACAAAGGCCUGUUUCAAGCCAGCAACAUGAUGUCAUUGAAUGUGGAAUUGGGGAAAAAAGGCACAUAAGCAACUUUCGGAAGCUGGGACCAGCUGGUUACAGCACACCAUUGAGAUUGUGACUAGUUCUUACCAAGAUGUGUCACUUAACAGGGAAGGAACUGUGUGCAGGUGACCUUCUUUCUCCACUCUCACUCUCUCAGAACUUGGUGGCCUCAUGAGGAAGAUGGUUAGAGCUGCAAGAUGGAAGGAUGCUAAAUUCUCAAGUCUCUUCCUUGAAAAGUUUAUCAGAUGACAAAUGCCUCCUGAUACAAGCCUUUAUGCCAUACAAAGACUGCUAUGUGAAGUCCCCAGGAAAGUCUUCUAUGUAUCAAAAACACGUUGAAAUAUUAGAACUUCAAGAAAGCAACAGACUUCUCACCUUUCAGGGACUAGGAAGUGUGCAUUGAAUCAUGUGAUUGGAGAGCAGAGCAGAUGAGAUAGUAUUUUUACAAAGAUGACUAUUGGAUGAGAUCUGACGUGUUACCAGAGCCAGCAGGAUGGGCUGGAAAAAGUCAUGGGAGGCCACAAGGAAUCAAAGCCUCAAACAAUGUAGCAGAAGGAAGACGGAUCAGCUCACAUAACCAGGAAGGUGAGGAGUGUUGUUGGGAAGGACCAGAACAGGGACCCGGUGCUGCCUGCGUUUUCUCUCUUCACCUCUCAUCUGCUUUAUUUAGGAUUUUAUUUUUGGCUUUAUUCUCCCAAGCUGGGUGGUUUACAAAAUGGAGCCAUGGUUAGUAUCAGUUUCUGGGUUCACAACUUCCCAACUUCUUAACAUGUGAAGAAAGGGCUUUCCCCUGUGACUUUCAUUAAAAAAAAAAAAAAAAAUCAUAGGGAAGGACCCUAAUUGACCUGAGUUGGAUCAAUUUCCACCUUCUGGACCAGUCACUAAAGUUAAGAGGUUGGUUCCUGGAGUCACAUCAUAUACACACUUUAACAUUUACAAAUUCAAGUCUGAGAGUUAAAUGGGGGGAAAAUAAGAGAGAGGGGGUGGUUGUGUGUGGGUGACUCUGCCGGCCACUGAGUACAGUGGAUGUGAGCCUGGAGAAGAGAAUCUGCUGUGCCCGAGGUCCCAGUGCUUGUCAUGGCCUGAGAACCUGGAGCAAAGGCCCAGAGGGUCAUUUCAUAUAACCUGACCCUGAAAUGCAAGCCAGCUACUUCAUCUGGUAGUCAGCUGAAGAAACAGCCAUCUGUUCCAAAACUGGGGGGACAUGUCACUGCAGCCUUCAUGAAAAAAAAGUAUACUGUUAUGGGUGUUUAAAGGAUUUUCAAGGACAAUUUUACCUGUAGUGAAUUUCUCCUCACAAGCUGACAUUAAAACCUACCCCCUGGGCUUCCCUGGUGGCUCAGUGGUUGAGAGUCCGCCUGCCGAUGCGGGGGACAGGGGUUCGUGCCCUGGUCCAGGAAGAUCCCACAUGCCGUGGAACAGCUGGGCCCGUGAGCCAUGGCCACUGAGCCUGCGCGUCCGGAGCCUGUGCUCCGCAAUGGGAGAGGCCACAACAGUGAGAGGCCCGCGUACCGCAAACAAACAAACAAAACCUCAAAAAACAUAAAACCUACCCCCUGCCUAGGAUUGCUCCAAACUCUAUUAAGAUGCAUCUGGGGGCCCAUCCCUCAACCAAUCCCUGACAACUCAGAGGUGGGGUCCUUUAGGAAGGCAGUGGUUUCCAUUUGGACUUUAUGACAAGAGCUGUUGGACGUGCAAUUCCCCCGCAAAGGAGGGUCUACCUUCCAGGAGAAGAGGGGAGAAGCACUGGGGAGCAAAACAAUUGGGAUCCACUACACUGGAGUGACUAUGUGGCAUAAGGGUUGAGUGUCUACAAACACCUUCCUCCACUUUGACAUCUUGGAGUCCACCUCCCUCCUCUGGUCCUCACGGGGGCCUCCUCAUGGCUUCCUGGCCCUCUUUAGAGCCACUCUGUUAGCGUCUAAUUAAUAUGCACUUCAUUCCCAGACUACUGCCUGCUAUAGUGUUUGUGUAUGUCAAUGGCUUCCUCCCGCUCUAUGAGGCUGGAAUUCAGCUACAGAACAUGUUUAAUUGGAAACUGCAGUGCUUCUCUCCACCUGGAACCAGGCCAAGUUCCUCAGCGGAGGAGGAGGGGCCUCGCUGUCUCCUCUUCAUCAAUCCCCACGCAGCACCCCUAGCCUGAGUCUAGCACCUCCCCUUUGUUCCCUGUGAUUUGGAGGUUGCUUCCUAACCAUGUGGAGCUCUUAGCCCCCAGAGGCCACUGCUCCGUUUCAGUUUUCUAAUCAUCCUCUUUCUCCAGGUAAGGUUGCCUGAUGAAAUAUUUGGGACAUCUUUAUACCAAAAACUUUAUUGUUUAUCUGAUAUUCAAAUGUCACUGGGCAGCCUAUAUUUUUAUUUGCUACAUCUGGCAACUCUAUCAGUAAGGCUUCCAUAAAUAUGACCUCUGCCUGCCUGGUGCACCAGGCCACCCAGACAUUCCUCAGCAGGUUUCAACGUGCCUACACGCACCAGGAGUGACAAUCCAGGCUUAAAAUAUUCAGAUUUUCAUGCUGGUUACAUAAAUGUAAUACGGGUAUCCCCCACUUUUCCAAAGUUCACUUUACACCACUUCACUUUUACGAAAGCCCUACCUAUCAGUAGUACUUGUUUUCGCUAACCAAAAGAAAUCCAAAGAGGAUUUUCACUCUCAGGAGAAGAGAAAAGCGAAAAUAGCGUGGGUUUUGCAGCAGCCAUUAUAGAGGCAGUGCGUGCCCCAAGCAGCGAGAGUGGCCCCGCCAGCUCCUUCCCGGGGAAUGACACUCAGCAUCUCAGCAUCAGGCCGCCAGAGCUUUGAACUGUGUCAGCAUCAGUGCUUUCUCUCCAUUGACUUCGUACAACCGUUAGCAAGAUGUGUCCUAAGGUAAGUGCUUCUUUGCUUUAUGCCAUUUUGGUUUAUCAAAGGUUUCAUAGGAAGCUCUGCUUUGGGAGAGUGGGGAAACCUUUAAUGCAGGCCAGCAUUUUAAGUGUGGAAUGCAUUUUGGACACAGAAGAUAGUCCCUGGUUAUAUCUGUCAUUAGCUAGUUAUGAAGUAUGAUUAACACUGCUAGAAAUGGACAUUUAUCUGUAAAAUAGGCUUAAUUAUAUAAAUCAGGCGUAAUCACCCGGCCAUGUUGCUUUUAGGUACAAACAAGCUGAGGGAAUAUUCCUAUCAACUCUCCCAUUUGACAGCUUCUAUUAAAAGAAAAUCUUCCCGCUUCCUUUCAAUAAAAGUGGCCAAAUGUUAUUGCAAUUCAAGUUGCUUCAAGGAAUUUAGAAAACCUACGUGUUUUAUUACUUAAAACACAAUAAAAAAAAAAAACACAAUAAAUUACUAUAUACUCAAUCUACUUGUUUGACAAUUUCAGUUUCUUUGAGAGGGUAGUGCUGAGAGUAGAGAUAAAGCAAGUAUAAGAAUGCAAAAAUCAUCCAUCAUCCAAUAUAUUUUGAAUACAUUGGCCCAAUCUUUUUGAAUGCAAAUAUAUAAAUAUUUUUAAAGAAAUUGGGGCCAAACUGUACGUACAUUCUGUUAUAUAAUUUACUUUCUUCCUAUCAGAUUUUUAAGCUUUUUAAUAGUGUAUACUCUUCUAUUAUAUGAAUAAAGCAUAAUAUACUCAACCAAUUGCAUAUUGCUGAAUAUUUAGGUUUUUCUAACUUUUUUUCUGUUACCACAGUCUUAUUUUAGCUUCCUGCAUAGAUUGUCUGCAAUUCAGAUGAUUUCUCUAAGUCAGCAGAGUGAGCACCUAAUGUUUCUGCCUGCCCAAAAUCCAUUUUUCCUCUGUCUGUUAACAGCACCCAAUAUUCUGUUGGGGAAUCCCUGGCCCAAAUCUGAGUUCAUGUGUCUUGAGUGGGAAUGAGACUACCCCCAAGUUCAAGGGAGAGCAUUCCAUCUUGUGGCUAUAACAACUUUUUCAAGGAUAGGCACAGUUCCCCCGCAUGGGUCAAAUUUAUCCCAGGACUUUUUUUUUUUUUUUUUUUUUUUGCAGUACGCAGGCCUCUCACUGUUGUGGCCUCUCCCGUUGCGGAGCACAGGCUCCGGACAUGCAGGCUCAGCGGCCAUGGCUCACGGGCCCAGCCACUCCGCGGCAUGUGGGAUCUUCCCGGACCGGGGCACGAACCCGUGUCCCCUGCAUCGGCAGGCGGACUCUCAACCACUGCGCCACCAGGGAAGCCCUAUCCCAGGACUUUUAUGAAAAUUAUUGGGAAGUAAGCAUUCUCAUUCCAUGGUUGGUUCUGAGCUGGUGGAUAUUUCUGGAUUUGUCCAGCCCCCUAGGGAGAAAGGGAACAUAAAAAUGAAGAUGACAGUGGAAAGCAGAGCUGAGAAAUGGACAGAGACCCAGUCCUCACUAUAACCUGGGAGCCAGCCACACCAGGAGAUUUUUUCAUUCUUGUGAGUCACUAAAUUCCCUUUUUGGCUUAAACCAAUUUGAGUCAGUGUUUCUGGCACCUUACUUGAAAUAAUCCUAAUUUUAAAAAAAAUGUCCAUCAGAACUGUAUUAUCAAAUUGCUUUCCCCAGAAGUUGUACUGAACCCCUACCGUCAAAGCUGUGCUUCUAUUGCAUUUCCACCAUUAAAUGUUGUUGCUUUGAGACACUAUUUGACUUUUUUUGAAGUUUCAUAGUUUAUGUUUAUUUAAAUACUAGCAAGGUAAAACUUUUCCUAUUUAAUAAAUAGAAUGUAAUUUGUCUAUUGUAAAUUGUAUCUUUUGCCUAUUUUUCUCUAUCAGCCUAUGGCCUAUGGAUUGAUUACAUGAUUUGCCCUUUGAUACUUGUGGAAUGUAUUUUUCCUCUAGAUUUAAGCUUUAAAAAAUAACG